rnacentral:lncRNA from 1 species
CCUUGUCCUGAGGGCCGCGCGUGGGGCCUGGGGGACGUCCCGUGUGGGGGAGGCCGGGCCGGGACACGGGGACAGCCCGAGGGACCAGGGACAGCCCGAAGGACCAGGGGCAGCCUGCCGCGGGACAGCAGGGCAACAAUCCGCGCCUGAUGCCUCAUGUGCCGUGCCGUGGCCUGCCUGGCCCGCUCAGUGCUUCCUGACCCCUCCGCAGCCCCGUUCAGAGAGCAGGUCCGCUUCUCGAAGCGCGUUCGCCGUGCUUCGCUGAUGGUGCCAGUAUUGGCCAAGAAGUCCAGGAGUAUCCUGGGGUGCUUCAGGAACAGCAAUGCCAGCACCUCGGGGGAUUGAUCCUAUCUCUCUGCUCAGCCCUGGCGAGGCUGCAUGUGCAGUGCUGUGUCCAGUCUGGGCUCCUCAGGACAGGAAGACAUGGACCAGUGGAAAGUUGAUUACAUGAUUAAGGGACUGGGACCAUCUGCCUUGUAAAGAAUGUCUGAGGGAGCUGCACCUGGUCAGGCUCAAAAAGAGAAGGCAGAGAGAAUCUUAUCAAUAUAUUCAAAUAUCAGACAGGAGGAUACCAAAAGGAUGGAGCCAAACUCCUGUCGGUAGUGCCCGGCAACAGGACAAAGGGCAACAGGCAGAAACUGUAACACAGGGAGCUCGGCCUGAACAUGAGGAAGAACUUCUUUACUGUACAGGUUACUGUACAGGUUACUGAGCACUGGGACAGAUUGCCCAGAGAGGAUGUGGAAUCCAUGGAAAUAUUCAAGAACCGUCUGGACACGAUCCUGUCCAGUGUGUUCCCCAUCCUGCUUGAGUGGGGAGGUUGCAUCAGAUGAUCUACAGAGAUCCCUUCCAGCCCUACAUAUUAUGAAAUCCUGUGUUUUAGCCAUGACCUAUACAGAGUCUGGGCUCCAGAGUGGUCCCGUGGACAAUGUUUGUGCAGCUGACAGUGUCUGCAAUGUGAGAAGGAUUGGCGGGGAGUCACAGGAUUUCGGAGUUUGGCGCCUCAGUAUGUCAGUGGGUGCCUUGGAUAUAUGUGUAACUGGGAGCAAGAGUGAGCUGUCAGGUAGAAACCAGUCCAAGCAGCAAAGCUGA